GCCCUCGCCCAGAGUCUUCCCGGGAUUGGCUGCGGGCCCCGCGACUCUCCUGCUUCCCUCCCCGCCCCGCCCCGCCCCGCCCCGCCUCUCUAGUUUGUGCGCCCGGCGCAGGUCGCAGGCCUCUUUGUCAGCUGGAGUUGCAAGGGCUGACGCGCCACUACUUUGUAGCGGGUUUCGGGCGGGCCACGUGUGCGACGACAGGAACCCAACCCCAGCCGACCUUGAGCUCCAGGAGUUCGUCUCUUACGUCUGCGGAAGUGCAGCUGCCUCAGUUCUUAGCGCAGGUUGACAACUACAGGUACAAGCCAUUGAAGCUGGAAUGUCCUGUUGCUGGUAUUUCAAUUGACUUAAGCCAACUAUCCCUUCAGUUACAAUAGGAAAGUGCCUCUAAUAAGGCCAAAUAUGCGUACUAACUUGUAGCAACCACGUGUCCGUGCAGUGCCACAGGAGCUAGAGCAGUGACAAUGCUGGUGGCAACAGGGCAGUGUAGCAGGUGCUUCAUGUUCACCUUUUCAACCUUUUCAUUUAAUUGUCACAACUUGGAGGUGGAUUCUGUUAGGGACAGGCUGCCCCAGGACCACCCCACCCCCGCCAAUUCAAUGCAGCUGACCCUUACCCUGAAUACUCUGCAGCUGCAUUCCUGAACCGUUAUCUAGGCGCCAUAGCAAGGUCACCAGACUUGCUACACUGAAGCCCUCCGGGUGGCAGGGGGGAGGUCAUGAGAAACGUGGAUAAACCUAAGUUACACCCCCUUGUAAAUUACUAUUUUCACAAGAUAAUAUAUUGUAAGCCGGUCAUGAGAUUAUAUGUGGUAAAGCUAGUUGACUAACAACCCCAGGGUCUCUCUCCCCCAUAUAAACCCCUCAUUUUGUAAGCUCAGGGCUGCCACCUCUGACUGGUGGAGAAGCCCGGCAGGUUAAUAAACUUACUUGGCCUGACCUUGGGUCUCUCAUCUUUUCUCUCAGCUAACCUUACAGAUUCUAUUCUCCCAUUUCACAGGUAAAGAAAUAGAUUAGGGAUAACUUAGGUUUCAUCACCUGUGAGUAUCUCUGAAUGAGAGGCUUCACAUGUAUAACUUUUCGGCAAUGUGACUUCUGGAAAGUCACUUGUCUCUUGAGAUUUGGUAUCCUGGUGUAACAGUUAAGAAUUAUUUUAAACUAGGAAGGGACCACAGUCGAACUGUUAAGAAUAUAAACUCUUUGUAUUAUUUCAUUGCAUUGAGCCUAAGAAGAUUCACAAAAUUUGGCACAAAAGGAGUAUCUGUCAGCAUAUUCUGGUUUUUUUGUGUGUCUAUGUAGCAAGUAUUAAUAUUUAUCUUGGAGUCAUUCUUAAUUCAUAGCAUUGUUCUUACCUUUUUAUCUAAACUUUUAUGUUCCAUAUUGUAAAGUCUAGUCGCAUAAAUUUAGGUAAUUGCUCAUAAGUGCAUAAUGUUGAAUUGUAAUCCCGAUGUUAGAGGAGGGGCCUGGUGGGAGGUGAUUGGAUGAAAAGGGUGGAUUUCCCUCUUGCUGUUCCUUGUGAUAGUGAGUUCUCAUGAAAUCUGGUUGUUUAGAUGUGUAGUGUGGCUGGGGCAGUGGCUCAUGCCUGUAAUCCCAGCACUUGGGAAGGCCAAGGUUGGGGGAUCACUUGAGAUCAGGAGUUAAGACUAUCUUGGGCAACACAGUAAGACCUCGUCUCUACAAAAAAUGAGGCAGAAGGAUUGCUUGAGCCCAAGAGGUUGAGACUGCAGUGAGCCAUGAUCUUGUAACUGUGCUCCAGCCUAAAAAGAAAAAUUAAUAAAAAUAAAGGUUAUGCAAUUGUGCACGUUAUCUCAAGGCAGAGGCAGAAGAAUGGCAGAGUUUAGUUUAAAAGUGUGGCACCUCCCCUUCCUCCUACUCUGGCCAUGUGCUUCCUGUUAGACAUACCCCACGACUGUAAGUUUCCUGAAGCCUCAGCAGCCAUGCUCCCUGUGCAGCCUGCUGAACCAUGAGACAAACCUUUUCUUUAUAAAUUACCCAGUCUCAGUUCUUUAUAGCAAUGUGAGAACAGACUAGUACAAAAAAUAAAUUCAACUAAUGUGUUAGCUGGCUAUAAUUGCUAAGGGGGUAAGGAAAGGGAGAUGACUUAACAUGGCCGGCAAGGGAGGCCUCACUCAACAUGGAAGAGCUGAGGGAGAUGCCAUGUCCUUAUAUAUAGUUGAGGGAAGAGCAUUCUAGGCGGAGGGAAAACUUGUGCAAAGGCCCUGAGGAUAGUUGUGUUUAAAGGUUUGGAGAAGCAGUGAAGCUGUAGAGAAAUGACCUUAAGGAGGGGAGGACUUAAUGUCUGUAUGUAGUAGUGGAGAGUUGGUUAUUUUCAAACUAUUGUAAAAUGGCAACGUGCUCUGGCCUUCAGGGCUCUGAAUGUUUUAAUUUAACUGGAAUGCUUUCUAUGGCCUUAUACUUUACUGCUCUUAACCUAACUUUUCUCUGACCACCAUCCCUUCUGUGUGCUCUGACCACCAUCCCUUCUAUGUGCUCUUGAUUUUCUUCAGCACCCUGUAAUGGCCCUGUAGCAUCAGAACUACGUUGGCGCAUCGCGUGUGAACUUACCUAACUGCCUCUGCUUCUUUCCAUUCUGUAAAGUCCACCUUAGUUCCCACCAUAUUACAGAGGGUCUAGUCAGGUGCUUGACCUUUUCUAGGUAAGUGGCUUACAGUCCCCUUCUAAGGGCAGCAUAAUGUUGAGCCUAGGUUCAAAUCUCUAUGUGUGAUCUUAAACUACUUAGUGUUAGGUUCUAUUAACAAGUAAUUAAAAUGAGUUAUAUGUGGUACAUCAGACUACUUGGUAAGUAGUCAGCAAAUGAUAUAUUAGUUGGUAGUACUAUUUAAUCAUUUUUAUAACACCGUAUAGUCAUAAUGUUAGAACAAAAUGACAAUACUGAUACUUAGUAUUGUGCAUGUUUCAGCAGCACAUCUACUAAAAUUGGAACUGAUACUUAGUAUUUACAUAAUACUGGAAUAGCUCUAAUGUUCUUUUAAUGGCGCAUUUAACUAUGGGCCAAGUACUAUUCUAGGUAUCAUGAGAAUCAGUGAGCAAGUACACAAAAAUCAGUGGAUAUGGUUGGUUUUGAUCACAUAACUCAUUGGCCACAUUUCAGAUAUUCAAUAGCUGCAUGUGGCUAGGGGCAGCACAGACAUAGAACAUCAACAUACAGAAAACAACCCCAGAGCCUUAAAAGGCCCUAGCAAGUUCUGUCAGAACAAUGGUCCAGUGAAGGUGGGCCAAGAGAAUGGCAAGGUUUUCUAGGUACUGUCAAGAUGAAAGGUGUAAAAACUGUGUUAAAAGUCUGAAGGCUCUAGCAAAUAGUUGUCAAGAAUAACCACUGGUUUCACAAAGCACUCCACGGAGUCCUGGUGGUGGUCCUUUGCCCCUUGAGUUACUUGGGCAGAGGCUCUGUAACACGUCCAUGGCUCAACAGCCACAUGUGGCUAGGGGCAGCACAGAUAGAAAACAUUUCCAUUACUGCAGGGUUUUAUUAGCAGUACUCUUGUAGACAUUGCAUGAAUCAACAAACUUUUCAGAAGAGAAAACCUGUGAGAACCUGGAAAGACAGUGUAGUCUGAAUGACCGCCUCCAGAGAUAAUCAGGCCUAAUCUCUGGAACCUGUAAAUGUUACCUUGUUUGCAGAUAUUAUAAUUAGAUUAAGGAUCUCAGGAUGGGGAGAUUACCUUGGAUAAUCCUAGUGGGCCCUAAAUGCGAUCACAAGUCCCCUCAUGAGAGGGAGCCUGAGGGAGAUCCACACAGCAGAUUGGAAGAUGCUGGCCUUGAAGAUCGGAGUGAGGCAGCCCCCAGGAGCUGGGAGAUGCCAAGGAACACAUUCCCCAUCAGAGCCUCCUGAGGAGCAUCAUUUGAUUUGGCUCAGUGAAACUGAUUUCUGACUUCUGGCCUUCAGAACUGAGAAUAAAUUGCUGUUUUAAGCCACCAAGUUGUAAUUUGUUACAGCAGCCUCUAAGAUCACAAAUACAGCUGGGGCAAGAACCCCACCACCUCA